rnacentral:rRNA from 1 species
AGUGAACGCUGGCGGUAGGCCUAACACAUGCAAGUCGAACGGCAGCACAGAGGAGCUUGCUCCUUGGGUGGCGAGUGGCGGACGGGUGAGGAAUACAUCGGAAUCUACUCUGUCGUGGGGGAUAACGUAGGGAAACUUACGCUAAUACCGCAUACGACCUACGGGUGAAAGCAGGGGAUCUUCGGACCUUGCGCGACUGAAUGAGCCGAUGUCGGAUUAGCUAGUUGGCGGGGUAAAGGCCCACCAAGGCGACGAUCCGGAGCUGGUCUGAGAGGAUGAUCAGCCACACUGGAACUGAGACACGGUCCAGGCUCCUACGGGAGGCAGCAGUGGGGAAUAUUGGACAAUGGGCGCAAGCCUGAUCCAGCCAUACCGCGUGGGUGAAGAAGGCCUUCGGGUUGUAAAGCCCUUUUGUUGGGAAAGAAAUCCAUCUGGUUAAUACCCGGGUGGGAUGACGGUACCCAAAGAAUAAGCACCGGCUAACUUCGUGCCAGCCGCCGCCGUAA